AAUGAAGUGCCUGAUUUAAGGGUCAUUUUGAUAGAAUGGAAUAUGUAAGCAAUUACCUUCAUUA
rnacentral:tRNA from 1 species